UUAGCAUCAAUGAUGAUAAUCAGACUUCGUCAUCCUUGCACUUUGAUUUAUAAUGAAGAAAACAACGGGGAAAGUAUUUCAGAGAUGCUU